rnacentral:rRNA from 1 species
UGGCUCAGGAUGAACGCUGGCGGCGUGCCUAACACAUGCAAGUCGAACGAAGCGGAUUUGAUGAAGUUUUCGGAUGAAUUCAAAUCUGACUGAGUGGCGGACGGGUGAGUAACGCGUGGGUAACCUGCCUCAUACAGGGGGAUAACAGUUAGAAAUGACUGCUAAUACCGCAUAAGCGCACAGUACUGCAUGGUACAGUGUGAAAAACUCCGGUGGUAUGAGAUGGACCUGCGUCUGAUUAGCUGGUUGGUGAGGUAACGGCCCACCAAGACGACGAUCAGUAGCCGACCUGAGAGGGUGACCGGCCACAUUGGGACUGAGACACGGCCCAAACUCCUACGGGAGGCAGCAGUGGGGAAUAUUGCACAAUGGGGGAAACCCUGAUGCAGCGACGCCGCGUGAGUGAAGAAGUAUUUCGGUAUGUAAAGCUCUAUCAGCAGGGAAGAAACUGACGGUACCUGACUAAGAAGCCCCGGCUAACUACGUGCCAGCAGCCGCGGUAAUACGUAGGGGGCAAGCGUUAUCCGGAUUUACUGGGUGUAAAGGGAGCGUAGACG